CCCGCUAUGGCGCCCAGAAAAUUAAAAAAUCGUUCUUAUCAGUUUAAUAUCUGAUACGUCCCCUACCCGGGGACCAUAUAUUAAUUGAUUUUUGGAGCAGGGAGAUGGAAUAGGGGCUUGCUCCGUCCACUCCACGCAUCGACCCGGUAUUGCAGUACUUCCGGGAACGGUGCACCCCUC
ensembl:snRNA U2 U2 spliceosomal RNA